UCCCUAAGUCCACCAUCGACGUCAUACAAACAAACCUCCAGCACAAACAAAUAGCGGCGGCGUCACUACGCAGGGUGCUGGAGGUAAAUAACAAUAGGACCGUCGCCCUGAUCCAAGAGCCCUGGAUCAGAAACAACAAAAUCUGCGGCCUAAACAACACAGGAGUUCUGUUCCAGAGAUGUCACCGCAGUGAAAACCGUGACAGAACAACAAACCCUAGUGCUAGCCUCAGUGUAUAUGCCAAGUGAGGAUGCAGUUCCCUCACAAGAACUCACCGCACUGGUACAACACUGUAGAGAGCAGGCCUGGGGCUUGAUCAUCUCCGCAGACUGCAACGCACACCACCCGCUGUGGGGAAGUACGGAUACAAACAAAAGGG